rnacentral:rRNA from 1 species
GAACGCUAGCGGCGUGCCUAAUGCAUGCAAGUCGAACGGGAACCUUUGGACUCGUCUGAAGGUGAGAGUGGCGAACGGGUGAGUAACACGUAGGUGACCUACCCCAGAGAGGGGGACAACCAGUGGAAACGCUGGCUAAUACCCCGGAUGUCAAUCUGGUUAGAGUGGAUUGACUAAAGCUCCGGCGCUCUGGGAGGGGCUUGCGUCCCAUCAGCUAGUUGGUGAGGUAAUGGCUCACCAAGGCAAAGACGGGUAGGGGGCGUGAGAGCGUGACCCCCCACACUGGUACUGACACACGGACCAGAUACCUACGGGUAGCAGCAGCAAGGAAUAUUGCGCAAUGGGCGAAAGCCUGACGCAGCAACGCCGCGUGAAGGAUGAAGGCCUUCGGGUUGUAAACUUCUUUUCUGGGGGAAGAGAAAGGACGGUACCCCAGGAAUAAGGCCGGGCUAACUACGUGCCAGCAGCCGCGGUAAAACGUAGGGGUCGAGCGUUAUCCGGAAUUACUGGGCGUAAAGCGCGUGUAGGCGGCAGCUUAAGUCGGACGUGAAAGCUCCUGGCUCAACUAGGAGAUGCCGUUCGAAACUAGGCAGCUCGAGGGUGGUAGAGGCAAGUGGAAUUCCCGGUGUAGUGGUGAAAUGCGUAGAUAUCGGGAGGAACACCAGUGGGGAAGGCGGCUUGCUGGGCCAUUCCUGACGCUGAGACGCGAAAGCUAGGGGAGAGAACGGGAUUAGAAACCCCGGUAUUCCUAGCCGUAAACGAUGUCAACUAGGUGUAGGUGGUGAUUGACCCCAUCUGUGCUGUAGCUAACGCGUUAAGUUGACCGCCUGGGGACUACGGCCGCAAGGCUAAAACUCAAAGGAAUUGACGGGGACCCGCACAAGCAGCGGAGCGUGUGGUUUAAUUCGAGAUACGCGAAGAACCUUACCAGGGUUUGACAUAUACGUGGUAGGAAACUGAAAAGGGACCGACCCUUCGGGGAGCGUAUACAGGUGCUGCAUGGCUGUCGUCAGCUCGUGCCGUGAGGUGUUAGGUUAAGUCCUGUAACGAGCGCAACCCUCGUCGUUAGUUAUAAGUGUCUAACGAGACUGCCGGUGAUAAGCCGGAGGAAGGUGGGGAUGACGUCAAGUCCGCAUGGCCUUUAUAUCCUGGGCUACACACACGCUACAAUGGCCAGUACAAUGGGCAGCCAAGCCGCGAGGCGGAGCCAAUCCCACAAAGCUGGUCUCAGUUCGGAUUGAAGUCCGCAACUCGACUUCAUG